rnacentral:misc_RNA from 1 species
ACACCUCAACUCUCAUGGCUUGCCAUGAUGAGCUUGGACCUAUGGGGGGUCUUGCUGGCCUGUGGUCGGCUCCUCUCAAAUGAAUCAGCUUGCCAGUGUUUGGUGGCAUCACAGGUGUGAUAACUAUCUACGCUUGUGGUCUUCCACCAGGUAACCUUCAGCAAUGGAGGUUCACUGGGGCUCAUAAAUGUCUCUCCUCAGCGAGGACAGCUCUUUGAAC